rnacentral:rRNA from 1 species
UACGGAGGGUGCAAACGUUGCUCGGAAUCACUGGGCGUAAAGCGCACGUAGGCGGCCUUGUAAGUUGGAUGUGAAAGCCCUGGGCUCAACCCAGGAAGUGCAUCCAAAACUGCAUGGCUUGAGUACCGGAGGGGUUCAGAGAAUUCCCGGUGUAGAGGUGAAAUUCGUAGAUAUCGGGAGGAAUACCAGUGGCGAAGGCGCUGAACUGGACGGUAACUGACGCUGAGGUGCGAAAGCGUGGGGAGCGAACAGG